AGUCGACGGCAGCACAGCAGUAGCAAUACUGUGGGUGGCGAGUGGCGGACGGGUGAGUAAUGCAUCGGGAUCUACCCUGACGUGGGGGAUAACCUCGGGAAACCGGGACUAAUACCGCAUACGUCCUACGGGAGAAAGCGGGGGACCUUCGGGCCUCGCGCGGCAGGACGAACCGAUGUGCGAUUAGCUAGUUGGCGGGGUAAUGGCCCACCAAGGCGACGAUCGCUAGCUGGUCUGAGAGGAUGAUCAGCCACGCUGGGACUGAGACACGGCCCAGACUCCUACGGGAGGCAGCAGUGGGGAAUAUUGGACAAUGGGCGCAAGCCUGAUCCAGCAAUGCCGCGUGUGUGAAGAAGGCCUUCGGGUUGUAAAGCACUUUUAUCAGGAGCGAAAUACCACGGGUUAAUACCCUAUGGGGCUGACGGUACCUGAGGAAUAAGCACCGGCUAACUUCGUGCCAGCAGCCGCGGUAAUACGAAGGGUGCAAGCGUUAAUCGGAAUUACUGGGCGUAAAGGGUGCGUAGGCGGUUACUUAAGUCUGUCGUGAAAUCCCCGGGCUCAACCUGGGAAUGGCGAUGGAUACUGGGUGGCUAGAGUGUGUCAGAGGAUGGUGGAAUUCCCGGUGUAGCGGUGAAAUGCGUAGAGAUCGGGAGGAACAUCAGUGGCGAAGGCGGCCAUCUGGGACAACACUGACGCUGAAGCACGAAAGCGUGGGGAGCAAACAGGAUUAGAUACCCUGGUAGUCCACGCCCUAAACGAUGCGAACUGGAUGUUGGUCUCAACUCGGAGAUCAGUGUCGAAGCUAACGCGUUAAGUUCG
rnacentral:rRNA from 1 species